UCCAAGGGCUGGGGAUGUUGCUGUCCUAAGGACAGCUGAGCAAGGGGGUUGAGGAGGAGCUUGGGUGGUGGAGGAGAGGAAACCGGGUAAGAUGCGUGAAGCAGUCAGUCAUACCAGGCCCAGAGAGGACCCGCUGGGACAUAAGAGCCUGCAUGUGAAGCCAGGCCUUGGGCCACCUUGUUCCUCAAAGGAGUGCCUACUUCCAUGGGGUCUUCAAAGGGACUGUGGAAAGAGAGGCCUUCAGCCCACAUCUCUGAAUGCUUUUCCACCACAGCAUGCCCUGUGGCCUUUAUCCUGCUGGUGUGGAACAGUCAGACCCCUGCAGGGCUGCAGAGCCUCUGUACCGGGCGGCAUCCCAGCCUGAGUGCCAGAGCUCAGUGGGCAGGCCCCCAAGCAAGUAGAGAGGAGGCCACCUUUUGGACAGAAUGUGUGGGACGAGAGCAACGGCUCAUCCAUUCAGGUUCCUCACAAAAUGAGAGUCAGGAAGAUCAGGGCGCAGACCUGAUUUUCCACUCAGGGCUGAAAGCAGACAAACCGAGGGAGAGCAGCACCUGGGCCAAUGAGGUAGAAGACAGAAGACUACAGGUACUCCUGCCCUCAACCUCAGCCCCUCCCACCCACAUCCUCCACGCCCCUGACCACCUUCCUCAGAAGUGUAAUAGGAAUCCAGAUUCCCCCUGUCCUGGUUGCUGCGGGAGGUACAGUGGCCUGAUGGAGCCCGAGGCAGGUGUGGCAA